rnacentral:rRNA from 1 species
GAGUUUGAUCGUGGCUCAGAUUGAACGCUGGCGGCAGGCCUAACACAUGCAAGUCGAGCGGUAGAGAGAAGCUUGCUUCUCUUGAGAGCGGCGGACGGGUGAGUAAUGCCUAGGAAUCUGCCUGGUAGUGGGGGAUAACGCUCGGAAACGGACGCUAAUACCGCAUACGUCCUACGGGAGAAAGCAGGGGACCUUCGGGCCUUGCGCUAUCAGAUGAGCCUAGGUCGGAUUAGCUAGUUGGUGAGGUAAUGGCUCACCAAGGCGACGAUCCGUAACUGGUCUGAGAGGAUGAUCAGUCACACUGGAACUGAGACACGGUCCAGACUCCUACGGGAGGCAGCAGUGGGGAAUAUUGGACAAUGGCGAAAGCCUGAUCCAGCCAUGCCGCGUGUGUGAAGAAGGUCUUCGGAUGUAAAGCACUUUAAGUUGGAGGAAGGGCAGUAAAUUAAUACUUUGCUGUUUUGACGUUACCGACAGAAUAAGCACCGGCUAACUCUGUGCC